rnacentral:rRNA from 1 species
GUUUUGAUUAUGGCUCAGAUUGAACGCUGGCGGCAGGCCUUACACAUGCAAGUCGAGCGAGAAAUUUUCUUCGGAAAAGAGUAAAGCGGCGGACGGGUGAGUAACGCGUAGGAAUCUACCUAGUAGUGGGGGACAACAUGUGGAAACGCAUGCUAAUACCGCAUACGCCCUAUGGGGGAAAGCAGGGGAUCUUCGGACCUUGUGCUAUUAGAUGAGCCUGCGUCGGAUUAGUUUGUUGGUAGGGUAAUGGCCUACCAAGACUACGAUCCGUAGCUGGUCUGAGAGGAUGAUCAGCCACACUGGGACUGAGACACGGCCCAGACUCCUACGGGAGGCAGCAGUGGGGAAUAUUGGACAAUGGGCGCAAGCCUGAUCCAGCCAUGCCGCGUGUGUGAAGAAGGCUCUAGGGUUGUAAAGCACUUUCAGUAGGGAGGAAAAGUUAGUAGUUAAUAACUGCUAACCCUGACGUACCUACAGAAG